rnacentral:rRNA from 1 species
CAUUAAGUGCCCCGCCUGGGGAGUACGGCCGCAAGGCUAAAACUCAAAGGAAUUGACGGGGGCCCGCACAAGCGGCGGAGCAUGCGGAUUAAUUCGAUGCAACGCGAAGAACCUUACCAAGGCUUGACAUGUGCCGGUCUGCUCCGGAGACGGGGUUUCCUCCCUUGUGGGGGCUGGUUCACAGGUGGUGCAUGGUUGUCGUCAGCUCGUGUCGUGAGAUGUUGGGUUAAGUCCCGCAACGAGCGCAACCCUUGUCUCGUGUUGCCAGCACGUUGUGGUGGGGACUCGCGGGAGACUGCCGGGGUCAACUCGGAGGAAGGUGGGGAUGACGUCAAAUCAUCAUGCCCCUUAUGUCUUGGGCUUCACGCAUGCUACAAUGGCCGGUACAGAGGGCUGCGAUACCGUGAGGUGGAGCGAAUCCCUUAAAGCCGGUCUCAGUUCGGAUCGGUGUCUGCAACUCGACACCGUGAAGUUGGAGUCGCUAGUAAUCGCAGAUCAGCAACGCUGCGGUGAAUACGUUCUCGGGCCUUGUACACACCGCCCGUCACGUCAUGAAAGUCGGCAACACCCGAAGCCCGUGGCCCUACGG